AGCUACAGUAUAUUAACCUGCAACUCACAACUAGCAACCCCCUGAAGCUCAGCAGGUUUGAGCCUGGCCAAUACCUGGAUGGGAGACCUCAUGGGAAAGCCAAGGUUGCUGUUGGAA
rnacentral:rRNA from 1 species